UGGAUCAAUGAUGACCACUGGUGGCAUAUGAGUCACGGAUGAUGACUGCGGGUCUGGAUAUCUGAGGUCCAA
rnacentral:snoRNA from 1 species